UACGGGGGGAGCAAGCGUUGUUCGGAUUUACUGGGCGUAAAGGGCGCGUAGGCGGCGCAACAAGUCACUUGUGAAAUCUCCGGGCUUAACCCGGAGCGGCCAAGUGAUACUGUCGUGCUAGAGUGCGGAAGGGGCUACUGGAAUUCUCGGUGUAGCGGUGAAAUGCGUAGAUAUCGAGAGGAACACCUGCGGCGAAGGCGGCUCUCUGGGCCUUACCUGACGCUGAGGAGCGAAAGCGUGGGUAGCGAACAGG
rnacentral:rRNA from 1 species